CAGCUGAACAUUGUAGCUAAAGCCAUGAUUUAUAAGCCAAGAUGUCAAACAUUAUCUCAGACUACUAUGACCUAAUCAACCCCUCAGAGAAUAUUAUACAUUCAACAGAGAAUAACUUAUCCAUCGAUGAACAGUAUGAUAAGUGUCCAGCACUUUCAUUGAAACUUGAUGCUAUUCCACAGUUGAUAUUAGCACAGAUAGUGCUGUUCUCUCUGGCACUUCUAUUCAGUAUUAUCGGACUGGUUGUAAGCAUUGUUUUCGUCUGUCGAAAGAAGACCAAUUUCUUCACGAGAUUAUUUGUCUACUUGUCUGUGGCUACAACAUUGCUGGUAGGAUUAGGCUUGGUGACAAGUAUACCUGAAACUUGUGAUUAUUUUAUUGGAAUACAUGUUUUUGGAUUAGUGUAUAUAACAUGGAUUGCUACCGUUCUAAGCUAUACAGCUUACUUCACCUUGCUAUGGAAACUAUGUGCUCAAACGUGCAGCUGUUGUAUGAGAAGACAGCUGCGCUGUGUAAAUCGUACACCCAAACAACAGGUGAUACUGGAAGUGGUGUUAGUGCUGGUAACGAUAGUGCUGCCUAUACCUUUUAUACUGGGUGGCAUUUUAAGCCACGGUUUGAAUAAAGCAACCGUAUUAGUUGUAGGAAUUAGUGAAAUAAUAAUGCUAUUUGUAGCCAUUCCUGCAGUUGGGCUUUUAGGCUCGGUUGGUUAUGUAAUUCUACUUGUUUGGUUUUGUGUUCGAAGGAAACUAAUUUCAAGAAAAAGUGCGGUACUUUUUGUUAAGGAACUGAUAAUGUGCUUCAUGUACUUUCUAAUUGCGAUAUUAGAAAUUCUUUAUUUUGCCUUUAAUAGUAAUGGAAUGACACCUAGGACAGAUGUCAGAAUUGGCCUGAUCAUAGUAGUCACUUUAGCGACUCUUUACCCCUACUGUGUGCUUGUGUACAUGUGGUACAGUUUCAGAUUUCGACAAGUUGACAAACGAGGCAUACAAGAAGAUGGUAGAGAUCUAGUAUCUGCUCAUACAUUGGAAUGGGGCAGGUACUCCGCCAUGGAGACUUCCACGGAUGCAGCUGUACUUGUAUGAGCGGCCUCACAAGAGAAGAAUUACCGUGACUAUUUUUUAUGCGUGCGCUGCCAUCGCUAUAUAAUAAUUUAACUGGACACUAUAACUCGAUCAUUUGCACAGUUACUUAGUGUAUUGACACUCAGCACUUGUAUAGUAUAGUAGUUGUACACACAUAAUUACUAUAAUCAUGGUUUAAAAGUUCAAGGUGUGAAUAAUGAACAUGCACACACAAACACGGCAGUGAUGAUUACAACAGUACGUCAUUUUAUCUUGCCAUGCAGGAGCGUUAUCUUAAUAAACUGAGGGGCACAGCCAUUCGUGUACUCUAACUACCGUAUAGCGGCCGGACUACGACAAAUCGAUGCUGUAAACAGCCUCACAAGAGAAGAACUGAGCUACUUUAUGUAUUCUCAGAACUAUAUUAUUAUGUGUGUAGUCAUUAAUUGAAGACACUCAAAACUUGUUACACACACGAUGGCACUUAUGGUUUCAAUGUUAUUUUUGUAAAAUUGAAUGCACACAAAUAAACAACUUUAUAAAA